rnacentral:rRNA from 1 species
AGGAUUAACGCUGGCGGCGUGCCUGACACAUGCAAGUCGAACGAGGCCGCAAGGCCUAGUGGCGGACGGGUGAGUAACACGUGAGCAACCUGCCCUUUGGACCGGGAUAACACCUCGAAAGGGGUGCUAAUACCGGGUGAGGUCUCCGGCCCGCAUGGGUUGGGGAGGAAAGGGGAAACCCGCCGAAGGAGGGGCUCGCGGCCCAUUAAUGGCGCACCAAGGCGACGAUGGGUAGCCGGCCUGAGAGGGUGAACGGCCACACUGGGACUGAGACACGGCCCAGACUCCUACGGGAGGCAGC